GCCUUCGUGGUGUAGUGGUCAGCACACUCGACGCGUAUUCGAGAGGGCCCCGGUUCAAGUCCCGGCGAGAGCA
rnacentral:tRNA from 1 species